rnacentral:pre_miRNA from 1 species
UUAGCUGAUAUUUGUAUGGAAUUGGGAUCGUCUGCCUACGUUUGCCGCUGGGGGCGCUGUUCCAACUGCAUACAAAAUUGGGCUA